rnacentral:lncRNA from 1 species
GUCCUAAAAAAGUAUUAUAAGUGUCGGACAAUCUGGCUUCUAAGAUAUACAUCUAACAAAAAAAAGGAUGGUAUUUGUAAAUAAAAUAAAAAUCCAUCCCCAAAUAAGUCUCUGUAGGGUUAAUCUUUUCCUCCAAAACUAUCCAAGGGUAGUUCUAUCAUUUACAUGGACUUAAGCGGUAGUAGGUGGCAAGAGUGGAUGGCA